UGAGCCCCCCCAGCUCCCUCAGCCGCUCCUGCUGCUCCAGCCCCUUCCCCGGACACGCUCCAGCCCCUCUCGGUGUCCCUGCUGUCAUGAGGGGCCCGGCCCGUCCCCGCCCGCCGGCGCAGGCGCGGCUCUGCCCGGCCCGGCGGCCCCGCGGGAUGCGGGCGCUGCGGCGGCUGCACGAGGCGGUCCUGGCGCUGCUGCUGUGGCGGGGCCCGGGCCCGGCCCGGCCCGCGGCCUCGGAGGUGCUGAGCCAGCACCUGCGGCAGCGCCGGCUGCCCCACUGGACCUCCUUCUGCGUCAAGUACAGCGCGGUGCGCAACGACCAGUUCGGGCUCUCGCACUUCAACUGGCCCGUGGACGGCGCCAACUACCUGGUGCUGCGCACCGGCUGCUUCCCCUUCAUCAAGUACCACUGCUCGCGGGCCGCGCCGCAGGACCUGGCGCUGCAGAACGCCGCCUUCACCGCGCUCAAGGUGCUCAACGCCGGCAUCCCAACUUUACUGUACGGAAUUGGCUCCUGGUUCUUUGCCAGUGUCACAGAGACUGUUCAAACGAGUCACGGCCCAGUUACUAUUUAUUUUCUAAAUAAAGAAGACGAAGGAGCCAUGUACUGAACUCAGGCCUUCAAGUCCCUGUUGUUUGGUGAUUUCUGCUGCAAAUAUUUGCUCCCUUUGACUAAAAAGAACUGAAGGAAACUGUUAUUUUCUUACAGUGCAUCCUCAUAUUUAAUGUGCUGGUUCAAGAAGCUUCCUGGACUUUUCGGUCAUGAGAGAUUUAUUUCUGCAGAGGUUUUGGCUUGAAUGCAGGAUGGAAAUACUGGGGGCCAAGAGGAUUCACAGCACCUUGUCCCAAAACUUUCUUGGGGGAAAUAACUGGUCCACAAAAUGACCCUUCUGCCUUUACAGGGACACCUGGAGCCACCUGACCUUCCACUGACUUGAGCAGAAGUUGGAUCUGUCCUCAACUUACCUUUUGUAUUGACCUAAAUCUCUUUGCAAACCAGAAUUAAAGGUCUCCCUGAUGUACAUUAUUAUUGAAUAAAAUUUAGCUAUUUCUUAAUAGCUGAAUGCCCUCAGGCCUCUGCUUUAAAGCAACUUUGCCUGAAACAAAGGAGAAUUUGCUUCAUAUAUUAUUUACUUUGGCCAUUUAAUUUAAAUUGCCUUUUGCUGUAGCUCCUUACUCAUGUUCACUGCAGAGAAGUAAGUUAAUAAAUCUGAGAGUUGUCUUGAUUUCUUUCCCUGGUUCUGGAAACAGAUGUCAGGUUAUACUUUUUGGGCUGUAUUUUUCAGUUUAAAUACACCUAAGAAAAAGUGGCAACUCCAGCAUUGCAUCAAGGGGAUGUAGAAUAAAAAUUGUCACUAAUGUA